GGGGAAGCCAUAGUUAGGGUUUUCAAGCUUCCAAGCUCCAUAAUCAAGAAGUACGAAACUCGAGGUUAGACAAAGGGAAGAAUAAAGUUGAAGACUAAGUUGGUGAACUUGGCUAUAAUUGGUACCGAGUAUUGCAAAGCUACUUCAAGGAUCCUAAAGAAGUCGGAGAUCGUCCACACUAUCAACUACAACCGCUUCGGUAUUUUAUAUCGAAACACGUUUGAGUUAUGGCAUGUAUAGG